GGGGAUAUAGCUCAGUGGUAGAGUUCUUGCUUUGCAUGCAGAAGGCCCUGAGUUCGAUCCCCAGCACCACCA
rnacentral:tRNA from 1 species